rnacentral:rRNA from 1 species
GACGAACGCUGGCGGCGUGCUUAACACAUGCAAGUCGAACGGAAAGGCCCUGCUUUUGUGGGGUGCUCGAGUGGCGCACGUGUGAGUAACACAUGAGUAACCUGCCCUUGACUUUGUGAUAACUUCAGGCAACUGGGGCUACUACCGGAUAGGAGCUCCUGCUGCAUGGUGGGGGUUGGAAAUUUUCGGCGGUUGGGGAUGUACUCGCGGCUUAUCAGCUUGUUGGUGGGGUAGUGGCUUACCAAGGCUUUGACGGGUAGCCUGCCUGGGAGGGGGACCGGCCACAAUGGGACUGAGGGAGGGCCCAGUCUGCUACGGGAGGCAGUAGUGGGGAAUAUUGCACAAUGGGCGGAAGUCUGAUGCAGCAACGCUGCGUGCGGGAUGAUGGCCUUGUGGUUGUAAACCGCUUUCGCCUGUGACGAAGCGUGAGUGACGGUAAUGGGUAAAGAAGCACCGGCUAACUACGUG